rnacentral:rRNA from 1 species
AUUGAACGCUGGCGGCAGGCCUAACACAUGCAAGUCGAACGAGUGGCGGACGGGUGAGUAAUGUCUGGGAAACUGCCUGAUGGAGGGGGAUAACUACUGGAAACGGUAGCUAAUACCGCAUACCAUCAGAUGUGCCCAGAUGUGAAUAGCUUGUUGGUGGGGUAACGGUUCACACAGGCGACGAUCCCUAGCUGGUCUGAGAGGAUGACCAGCCACACUGUAACUGAGACACGGUCCAGACUCCGACGAGAGGCAGCAGUGGGGAAUAUGGCACAAUGGGCGCAAGCCGGAUGCAGCCAUGCGGCGUGUAUGAAGAAGGCGUUCGGGUUGUAAAGUACUUUCAGCGGGGAGGCGUUACCCGCAGAAGAAGCACCGGCUAACUCCGUGCCAGCAGCCGCGGUAAUUC